CCUGGCCAACAUGGUGAAACCCUGUCUCUACAAAAUACAAAAAUUAGCUGGGCAUGAUGGCGGGUGCCUGUAAUCCCAGCUACUCGGGAGGCUGAGGUGGGAGAAUCGCUCGAACCCAGGAGGUGGAGGUUGCAGUGAGCUGGGAUCGCACCGUCGCAUUCCAGCCUGGGCGACAGAGGAGACUCUCUCUCAAAAAAAAAAAAAAAAAAAAAAGAAAAGAAAAAGAAAAAAAGAAAGGAUAUUGGAGGUUGGAGGUGAAAAGUAACCUUUGUUACCAUCUGCGCUGGAGUUUGGCAUACUUCACAAGGGGCUUGCAACAAUCUGUUGAAGCGCUAUUAUUGCAUCUGUACUUGGGCAUUGACAGGUUGGUCUUACCCACUGGAUCCCAGUCAUGCUGUAAACGGGGCUUGCUUUGGUCUGUCAGACCCAGCUUAGACCCAGGCUCUGACAAAGUGGGUGAGUUAUGCAGCUAUUCAGUGGCAUCUAAUACCCUAUCCCAAAGGUCUGCUGUGAACAGGAAGGAGGCGUCAAAUUUGGCAGUGCCUGAUGAGGUGAAGCCGGGACCCAGGAACUUCUAUUCCCUCCCAUGCUCAGAAACACUGAAUUGUUGCCAGAGCAGGAACUCAGGAGCUGGGGAAGAGCCCCAGGCGGCAGCAAAGUCUUCCACUCUUCGCCUUUCUACUUGGCCAUCACUUGAACUCAGAGACCAGGGACCAGGAAGGAUGACAGCCAACUCCACAUCCAGCAUUUAGGGCACCGAGCCCAGAGUGCCCAAUGACCAGUUCUCUCUCUUCCUGCUUUCCCUGCACCCCAGGCCACUCUUCUACAACAUUUUAAAGUCUGAAAGAGACAUGAAAUCAACAACUCUUCCUGUUCCUCAGUGACAUCUCCCCAGGACUAGGAAAAGAUGAGGAUGAAUUAGUACAGUAUAUGCGUUAUAACCAUUAUAGUUACAAAGUAUAUUAAAAUUAA
rnacentral:lncRNA from 1 species